GACGAACGCUGGCAGCGUGCUUAACACAUGCAAGUCGAACGGAAAGGCCUCUUUCGGGGGGUACUCGAGUGGCGAACGGGUGAGUAACACGUGAGUAACCUGCCCUUGACUUUGGGAUAACUUCAGGAAACUGGGGCUAAUACCGGAUAGGAGCUCCUGCUGCAUGGUGGGGGUUGGAAAGUUUCGGCGGUUGGGGAUGGACUCGCGGCUUAUCAGCUUGUUGGUGGGGUAGUGGCUUACCAAGGCUUUGACGGGUAGCCGGCCUGAGAGGGUGACCGGCCACAUUGGGACUGAGAUACGGCCCAGACUCCUACGGGAGGCAGCAGUGGGGAAUAUUGCACAAUGGGUGGAAGCCUGAUGCAGCAACGCCGUGUGCGGGAUGACGGCCUUCGGGUUGUAAACCGCUUUCGCUCAUGACGAAGCUUUGUGUGACGGUAGUGGGUAAAGAAGCACCGGCUAACUACGUG
rnacentral:rRNA from 1 species